AGGUGCCACGCGUACAGGGCGGCUCCGAGCGCGCCGUCCACUCCCGCCUGGCGGUGCGCGCGCCAUAUGUGAGCC
rnacentral:sRNA from 2 species